rnacentral:rRNA from 1 species
UACGGAGGGAGCUAGCGUUGUUCGGAAUUACUGGGCGUAAAGCGCGCGUAGGCGGCUUUGUAAGUUAGAGGUGAAAGCCCGGAGCUCAACUCCGGAACUGCCUUUAAGACUGCAUCGCUUGAAUCCGGGAGAGGUGAGUGGAAUUCCGAGUGUAGAGGUGAAAUUCGUAGAUAUUCGGAAGAACACCAGUGGCGAAGGCGGCCCGCUGGGCAGGAAGGCUCGCAAGAGCCGGCUGACGCUGAGGCGCGACAGCGUGGGGAGCAAACAGG